AUCGCGUCGGCCAAUGGGAGCGCGCGACGCAUGCGCGCCGAGGCUCGUCCGAGACCGAAUUGCCGCCAACGACGGGCCAGCGCACAGUUUGAACUUGACUAGCGGUCCUCGUUCCUCGUUCCUCGCCAAACCUCUUCCUUCGUCGAACGUGUAAUCGUUUUCAGUGAAAGUAAAGAAACUACAAUGUGUCAACAGCAACAAAACUGCCAGGGAGAUUCCACUUACAUUUUUCUUUCCUGCAAAGAAAUGAUCAAAGAAGUGAAUCAACGAGAGCGAUGGUAUAAUACAAAGAGAUUUAACACCCUUAUGGAUCACGGUUCAUCAAGCUGAUAUGUCAGCAAGUUAUCUUCCCCUUUCCCGAGAGAUAUGGCGCGGUAUAAGUUUCGAGGGAACAAAACACAAUAAAAAAGUGAGUUAAUGCAAUAGUUGCUUUAUUCGCGCAUAUUCCGAAUUUAAUUUACAUCUUCUGUUAAAAAUGUGUUAAAAAAAUUAAAAAAG